GGGGAUUUAGCUCAGCGGCAUAAGCACCUGCCUUGCAAGCAUGCGGUUCCGAGUUCAAUCCCCA
rnacentral:tRNA from 1 species